rnacentral:rRNA from 1 species
GACGAACGCUGGCGGCAGGCUUAACACAUGCAAGUCGAACGAACGUAGCAAUACGUUAGUGGCGCACGGGUGAGUAACGCGUGGAUAUCUGCCUUUUGGUUCGGGAUAACCUUGGGAAACUAGGGCUAAUACCGAAUGGUUCCUACGGGAUAAAGAUUUAUCGCCAAAAGAUGAGUCCGCGUCCGAUUAGCUAGUUGGUGAGGUAAUGGCUCACCAAGGCGACGAUCGGUAGCUGGUCUGAGAGGACGAUCAGCCACACUGGGACUGAGACACGGCCCAGACUCCUACGGGAGGCAGCAGUGGGGAAUAUUGGACAAUGGGGGCAACCCUGAUCCAGCCAUGCCGCGUGAGUGAUGAAGGCCUUCGGGUUGUAAAGCUCUUUUGGCGGGUACGAUGAUGACGGUACCCGCAGAGUAAGCCCC